GCGGAUAUGGCGGAACUGGCAGACGCAAUAGACUCAGAAUUUAUUGGAGGUUAUCCCCGUGCAGGUUCAACUCCUGUUAUCCGCACCA
rnacentral:tRNA from 1 species